UGCUGCCAUAUGAAAUCUAUUUUUUGAUGCAAAUUUUUGGUCUGCAGCAGCACAUUUUCAUGCCAAUUCUGCAUCUGCAUGCUUCAUUCAUCUUCUUCAUCAUUAUAAUUAACAUCAUUCCUUAGAUACACUGCAGCAGCAUUGCCUAUCAUGGCAUAGUGCACUCAUGCAUAUCAUAUUUAGUUUCAAUUAAAAUAAAGUCUGCACUUUUCUUAUUUUAUUUUAAAAUUUCUUUUCUCCUCAUUUGUUUUCUUUUAUUUUCUUUUUAACGAGAUUAAAUUACGCAAACUAGACUUAACACACACCAUUUCCGUGGAUUCGAUCUUGAGUAUUUUUCUUAUACUUCAUUAGGAGAAAUUAUUUGGUUUUGUUUAACACUAAAAACCACUGAAAAAUACGAUUUAACAGUCCCCACAAAUCACUAAAAAAUAAUUGAAGAGGGUGCGUGCAAACAGUAGCGGAAGAAGAAGAUGGUAAGUGAUGAGAUUUACCCAUACAACAUGAAGAACAAAAAAUGAGAUUCUUACUAUUAAAAGGAACAUUACAUUUAGUCAUAACAAGUUUCAAUACAUUAAUAUUAGGAUGUCUUAAUCUUGAAUGCCAUAAAUUGAGUGAUGAUUGGGAACACGGAGUAGCAGUAAUGGAGAAGAUAGCAGCAGACGAACUAGAGUUGGACAGACCAGGCUAAAAGUGAGGAAAGGAAUAGAGACCAUCAACACCAACAACACCUUGGAGGAGUAGUUCAGAGUUGCUGGAGAUUUAACACAACAAGAAUGAGGAUAAAACUCAAAAUAAACAUCAUUUUCUAGAGCAAACAAACGAACACUAAGAAGAUUUCUAGUGAUGGAUGGUACAAGUAAUGAAUGUCGAAGAUGAAAAAUUAAGGAAGGGUGUGUGGAAGGAUGAAGGGUAGUAGAACCAAAAGCAAGAACAUGCAGACCUUCACCAUUACCAACAUUGAUGUUGUCUGGACCACCAAGGUCUUGAAUUGUUGAAUAUUUUGAGAGUCAUUGGUGAGAUGGAAAGAAGCACCUGAAUCUGGAACCCAAGAUAUGGUGGUGGCAGGAGACGUAGAGGAUGUCAACAUAGCACUAGGAAAACCAGGAACUAACUGUGUGGAUGCAGCAACACUAGAAGAAGUAGUGGCAGAAGAUGCAAUGUUGAAGGAAGAAGCAGAAUAUAGGGGCUGCUGUGUUGUAGGAUCAUAAAGAACCAGAGAUAUGUCAGGCUUAAAAUUGGGGUCUGCACGAAAAUGGCACAUAUUAGCAGUGUGGCCAUACUUGAGACAAAUCUGGCACUGGAAAUUAGCAAAACGGCCACCACGGGCACGAUCACAGCCUCGGGAACAUCGUGCCCCACCACGAAAAUUAAAGGGAGUAAAAUUGGUGGGGAACGAAUAUGGAGCAGCACCAGAGGUGUAGUUGAUAGAUGGUGGAGGAAAAAGAAAUUUUUGAUGGUGUUGAAUCCGUGCUUUAUGGGCAAAAAGAAGAGCCUCCACCUAAGUUAUGGGAAGGGUCUCAAAUUUGCUCUUAAUGACUAAAAUCACAGUAACAUAAUCAGGAGAAAGACCCUCAAGAAUAGCAUCAACAUAAUCAUUGAGGGAUACAGGAGAACCAAUUCCAGCCAACUCAUCCACAAAAGAUUUGAUGCGGUUGAGAAAAGCAUGCAUAGAUUGAGUGCCAAGGGACUGGUUUCGUAAAUCAGUGCGAAACCUAAAUGGAAAAUAUUCCUUCUAACAAAUCAACAUCAGAACAAGUAAGACAAAGAUGGAGAAUAAAUGCUGCAAAUAGAAGACGUAGAAUGAUCCCCCAACAAAGACUUAUUGAACAGUCUAAAAGAAGGAAAAGUAAUCCUGAAAACACAACCAACAUUGUCCAAAUGCCAAACAGAGCUUCCCGAUUGAGAAUGACAUCUAUUCGACAAAUGGCUCGGUUCGUAACUAAUGCAGGUUAUGGUUUGGUCCCACAAAGGUUUGCAGGACGUAAUGAUAAUGAAGAAGAACCAAGUAAUACACAUAUUACUGAAACUCUACAUGGUUAAUCAAUUUUAUUCAUCAAUAUUUAAUCCAUGUUAUUUACUUACCAUUUUAUGAAAUAUUUACAUAUUUAUAUUUAUUAUGCUUCAUGCUUUCACAUAACAGGUUCUCCUCAUGCACCGCAAAGGUUUGAAGAAUAUAAUGUAUAUGAAGCAUUGUCAAGUACUUCACCUGUCAGUAACAUAGAUUGUGGUUAUGGUUUUGCCUCACAAAGGUUUUCAGGACGUAAUGAUAGUGAAGCAGGACCAAGUAAUACGCACAUUACUGAUAGGUUUCCAGGACGUAAUGAUAAUGAAGCAGGACCAAGUAAUAUGCACAUUACUGACAGGUUUCUAGGUCGUAAUGAUAAUGAAGCAAGGCCAAGUAAUACGCACAUUAAUGGCACUGAACAUG